CUUACUCUGUGUUAAACACACACACUGGUCGACACAUAAUCCGGGGUGCCCAGAUAUUUUGGGUCGGUAUUACGGGACUGGUGGAGGUAUAAC
rnacentral:sRNA from 1 species